UUAUAUACCUAUAUACAUGAGCACAGGUGCCCACAGAGGCCAGAAGCAGGUGCCAGACCCCCGUGGGGUCGAGUCACAGGUGGUUUAGAGCCACCCACCAUAGAGCGGGCAAGUGAACUCAGAUCCUUUGCAAAAGUAGCUCUGGGGUUGUGUCGUCAUCACCAUCAUCUUCAUCACCUUCGUCGUCAUUGUCUUCAGCUCUUAGUUUCUGAUUUGCUGGGACCUGCAGGGGUACACACCCAACCUGGGCACAGAGCAGAGUCCCUGUGGUGUGCAGAGUGGGCACAAUCCCUAUGAAGUCAGGCUCCCCUGGGCAUGACAGGACCGAUACUCACGGGCCUGGGGACAGCUGGGGUGGUUCUGUUUGGUCAGCUUCCUAACCACCCUGUUACCUCUAACAUCAGCAUUGGAUUCAUCCAGGCCUGGCUCCUUAGCCUGCCUGCCUCACCAAUAUCCCUUCUAAUAAAUAGGCGAUUGCUGCUAGAACCGUCCCUAGUCUUCCAGCCUUACAAAUGACUAGGGAGGUUCCAGAAAACUGUGAAAAGAAGACGGAAAGGAAGAACUGCAUUGACAGAAGUCUGACAAUGACCAGAGCAGGCAGGGGUCCGGCGGUGUUGGGUUGGGGAUCAGAGAGCCAUAGACACAGGCACAGCUAUUUAAUUAAUUAACUAAUUAACUAACUAAUUAAUUCAUACUACUACUAUGGAAGGCAAGAGUGAGAGCCAGGGACCCAGUUGCCAGGCCGCACAUUGGCCAAGGCUGGAGGCUGGCUGUAUUCUAGCUUAGCUUCCUCUCUUACGCAGUGACUCUUAUCAGGAACUUUCUGUAACAACUAGUACUAUACUACCCUACCCAGGCCACUGUGUCCUGGUAUUGUCAUUGCCUUGGAAACAGUGACCCAUCCUCUGGGGAAAGAGUGAGGGACAUUGGGAGAAGAUCAUAUCAAGGUCACCAACCCUACUUUCUCAGCCACAGAGGGCUGCUUUCAAAGAGAAGCAACGCAGAACUAGAAAGCAGCGCCUGUCCUUGCCUGGACCUGACUUAUAAACUGCUCAGCGUGCUGAGGGCAUUCAGGAGUAGGAUGGCCACGCCCAGUGGCGGUGAGAUGCCGCAGCCUUAUACGCUAUGAGACCAUUGGGUCUGAGGUCACUGAAGGUCAACUCAUCCUACAAGCUGAGCUGAUGGCUAAGGUGACCCAGUUCUUAGGAGGCACGGCCAGGGUGUGGUAGAAGAGGCCACUGAGUGACUCAGCAGAUAAAGGUGCUUUGGGGACAAGCUCGGUGACCUGCGCUCCAUGUGAAGACAGAAGGAUCUGUGAAGUUGUCCUCUGGCCUUCACGUGCACACCAUGGCGUAUGUUUUCCCCGCCCUUCAUACUAUGGAUAUGAACAUGUCCCAGUGUCCCUCAUCCUUUCCCGUUCCCUCCUCCCCCAAGGAUGGGUCACAGUUUCCAAGCUAAUGACAAUACCAGGACACAGUGGCCCGGGUAGGGUGGCAUAGUACAAGUCGUUACAGAAGGUUCCAGAUAAGAGUCACUUUGCCAGGAGGCAGCUCAGCUGGAAUACAGCCAGCCCGCAGCCUUGGCCAAUGUGCGACCUGGCAACUGGGUCCCUGGCCCUCAUCCUUCUCUGCAGCAUUGGGAAGGGCGGGUGACCAAAAGAACAUACUGUAUUGAAGACCCCUGCACACUCCCAUGCUACGGAUGAGUAAGCUGAGGCUCUGCCCAGAGCCUGGGGUUUCUGGAGGCCUCUGAUGCCAUGUGACCCUCUGCCUCACUCUUUCUGGCAGCCCCAGGUCUGUGGGGGCUGUCAGGGCUUGGCACUUCUUACCUACCCCUCCCUGGCACCCCGUUACAACAUCCAACAGCAUUAUGUAGCACUGAGCUGAGACGUUGCUAUAGCAACACUGGGUAUGGUGCUGGUAAGCAUAAGAUGCUCCAUAUAAACUUUCAAGACAUUGUGUGCUGAGUCUCUGCUUCCCAGGCCAGGGCUGGUGCUCGCUGCCCACCAGACCAUCUCCACCCCUGUGAUGGAUGCCAGGCUCCCAGGAUGGGCACAUCUGGGGAGGGGAAGUUUUACUUGGGAAACACAUAUGACAGGGGCUGGGGUGGGGUCAGGAUGGUGAGGUGGUUGGUUGUGCUGGGCUGAGUGGCCCAUGGGCCUGGUCACUGUGUCACAGAGGGACAGGCUCCUGAGACACCUGUGACUUAACCUGCCAGGCACUACUUGACUCUGGGGACCCCAGGCCUCCAAGUGACACAUCUUUCCCCUUGGGCCCUAUGGAGGCUCGGAGCCUGGUGCAGCUGCCCGCACAUCUGUCAGUUCGAGAAUUCUCCAGCCAGAUGUCAGGAGGCACAGCUGUGCUCAGGCUCACAGGCUGUUGGCUUUUGGGACCCAUGUGUCCUUCCCGGUGACAGUGAUUGUGGGUUACAUACGAUGUCCAAAGGCCAUCUGUGUGAGGUCGGGCAGGGCCCCCCCGUAUCCAUGUCCGGAUCCCCAGGGCCGCGAGAAGGACAGUGUGCAGAUGGCCCACAAGAUUACACUGGGCUGGGUCGUUGUCUUGGCAACUGUCCACUGUGGGUGACCAUGCUGGAUGCCGGGAACCCUAAUGGAUGCCUUAGUGACCCUUUGCCCUGCCCUUCUGUGCACCCUGCCCUCUCCCACUCUGAAGCUUCAGCCUGCCUCCCUGCCUGCUGCCUUUCGAGCCUGAUUCUGACACUCCAGUGCCCUGGUCUGGGGAUCCCCAUACCCAGCAAGUUCUCACAGGUCCCCUGAAGGAGGAGGCUCUGGACACCCCACCCCCCAAGUAGUGUCUGACCUACCACUGCCAACCCUUUUCUCUCCCAGGAAGGGAAGAAACAUCACUGCAUCCCAGGCGGGGGUGCUGGGGAGUGCUGACCCGUCCAUCGGUCAGUGCCGCUCACACCCCAGCAGCCACAGAACCCAGCGCGUCACAGUGGUCCCCUCGGAGGUCACCGAGACACUCAUGGGUUUCUUCUCUCCCUCCCUCCAGGCCACUGUAGAGGUCAGAUGACUCACCUCAUCUCCCUAGCUGCCCCUCUCCACCCACGUGUGGCACCCCCAUGACUUGCCUCUUAAGUCUUCGGCUCUGUAGCUCAGCGGGUCCUCGUGGGGGUCAAAAUAUGGAGCUAGGUGUCCUAACUUGACACCUGAUAACCCUGACCCGCGCUAGAGGAUCAAAUGGGAUAACUGCAGAGCAGAUUCGGGGGAUGCUUCAGGAAGGUUGUCGUGGCUUCCUUUGCUGCUGCUGUCUGUCCUGUCCACCCCAGCCAAUGGUUCUUUAGAGUGACAGCCUCAGUGCCCCCCUCUUUUUUUAGCAACCUUAGGCUCUGCCUACUAGACUCCCACCUGUCCUUGCCCUCCGACUAACACCGGGGUGACUUGGAGUGUAAGGACAGGGAAGGCAGGGUGACAUGCAGACUUAGCAGGGGGUUUACACAGCUACCUCAGAGCACAUGAGGCCUUCAGUAAGCAAGGGGAAUAACCGACCAAAUCCGGCAUGGUGAUACAGUAACCUGUCUUUCUAGGACUUGGGAUCUGAGGCAAGAGGAGCUCAAGGAGACUGGGUUCUGGCCAAGUUCCACAGGGAUAAGUGUAAUCACGGGCUGAUGACUCAGCGCCUUGGUGGCUGGGCUGGCCCCCACAGACUCAUGCGUUUGAAUGAGACGCCGACUAGCUGGUCUACAGUUGGUGGAACUGUUUGGGGAGGAUUAGGAGGUGUGGCCUUGCUGGAGGAAGUGUGUCACUGGGGAUGGGCUUU